rnacentral:rRNA from 1 species
AUUGAACGCUGGCGGCAUGCUUUACACAUGCAAGUCGAACGGUAACAGGUUAAGCUGACGAGUGGCGAACGGGUGAGUAAUGCAUCGGAGCGUGCCCGGUCGUGGGGGAUAACGCAGCGAAAGCUGCGCUAAUACCGCAUACGAUCUGAGGAUGAAAGCGGGGGACCGUAAGGCCUCGCGCGAUCGGAGCGGCCGAUGUCAGAGUAGGGAGUUGGUGGGGUAAAGGCUAACCAAGCCGACGAUCUGUAGCUGGUCUGAGAGGACGACAAGCAACACUGGGACUGAGACACGGCCCAGACUCCUACGGGAGGCAGCAGUGGGGAAUUUUGGACAAUGGGCGCAAGCCUGAUCCAGCAAUGCCGCGUGCAGGAAGAAGGCCUUCGGGUUGUAAUCUGCUUUUGUACGGAGCGAAAAGGCUCUCUCUAAUACAGGGGGCUCAUGACGGUACCGUAAGAAUAAGCACCGGCUAACUACGUGCCAGCCGCCGCGGUAA